GACAGUGUAGCUGAAUGGAUAGAGCGCAGGGUCUUCAUCUGAGAAUGUCGGUUCGACUUCAACCACUGUAA